CAGGAGAAAGAAGGACUCUGUGGAAAGUCAUCCCACCUGGGUGGAUGACACCAGGAUCGAUGCUGUAGCUAUUGUGGAGAAGAUCAUGCAGAGCCAGGACUUCACCGACGUCAGCAACAAUGAAGACAGUCACCUGAGGCUGUUUGUCAGCAGAGAUGGCUCCACUACUCUCAGCGGGAUACAGAUGGCGAACAGAGUCUCUGCGGGAGUGUUUGAGCCUGUGGUCAUUGAAAUCCACUAAAUGCACAUGAAGCUGAGGAUCCGGUCCGGAGUCCCAGGCUACGAGCCAAACGCACCUUUCCAGGCCGCAAGGCUGAGACCUUUCCCACGUGUGGGGAGGACAAGAAACCUAGCGAAGGUCUGGAAGCCCUGAACAGCCCCUCUCCUGGUUCCCUCUGUUCUUGAGUCAUCCUGGCACUUGUCGUGUGCACAUCUCCAGCACGUUUGAGCUCUCCAGCAUGUGACAGUGUUUUUGUCUGCUUCUAAUCACUCUGGCGAGGACACCCCAGGCUCUCGGCAUUCCCAGUCCUGCUCUGUGAUGGUGGAGAGGAGACAAAGCACCGUUCUUACUCUGUGACAACUGCAGCCAUUCUUCUUCUUUUUUUUUUUUUUUUUCUUGCAUGUUCCUUGAAACGACUGUGUAAUGUCUGCGUAGACCUUGUCAGUGAUGUACGGGUCAGCAGUUUAGAAGAGCUACAUCUGCGUUGUGAGGUUGCAGUCCCUGGAAAUUGUCCUGUGAAAUCAAAGCUAAGAAAAAUGCAUAAGGGGACCUGUCACUAGGUUUGGGGCCACUAAACCACCAGCAUGUCAUCAUGCAGCUGGCAUAUAGCUUUCUAAACAUGCCCCUGUCCCAACUAGACAUUUUAGCAUUAGGCAGUAAACGAACAUAUUAAUUAGCGUUGGCGCAUGUGCAGACGAAGCCGAGGACAGUAUAACUUGCUUCACUGCGCAUGGAAGGAGUAUUGUUCUUGGCCUUAUCUGUGCAAUGUGCAUGCAUCCAGUACCAAUGGACUUACAGUAUCUCCCAGACUCAUCCCAGAUAAGGCGACAUUCACACAACCGUAUGUGUUUUGCAGUCCGCAAAUUGCGGAUCCCCAAAACACGGAUACCGGCCGCGUGCAUUCCGCAUUUUGCAGAACACGCAUGGCCGACCCUAUGAUAGAAAUGCCUAUUCUUGUCUGCGAUUGCGGACAAGAAUAGAACCUGCUCUAUCUUUCUUGCGGGGCCACUGAACAGAACUACAGAUGUGGACAGCGACGUCUUUUGCGGCCUAUGGUCUGCCCCCCUUAUGCAAAAUUAGCGUCCUAAUUUGGAAGUUCUUUUACUACCUUAUGCUCAAACGUCCAGUUUUGACAGGCGAAGUCUCAGCUGCAUAACAACACACUUGUGGUUUAGUGGCGCAAAACCUAGUGACGGGUUCCCCUUUAAAGGGAACCUGGCGCCAGAAGCAGCUCCCCUUAAGUUUACAUUAUACAGCGGUGGUCAGCAACCUCCGGCACUCCAGCUGUUGUGAAACUACAUUUCCCAUCAUGCACACUUGCUUGGCCGUUCUCUGAACUCCCAUAAAAAUGAAUAGGAGCAUGCUGGGAGUUGUAGUUUCACAACAGCUGGAGUGUCGGAGGUGAGGUUGCUGACCCCUGCUUGUACAGUAUAUGAUGUCCCACAAUACAAUACUAAACUGCACCCUGAAUCUAUAAGGUAUGUUCACAGCAGCCGAAACCACAUCCGACGGGUAUAUGCCGUGGAAUCCACAGCAGAAAGCCAAGCAGGGCCCUUGGAUUUCUGCCGUGGGUUUGCAGUUUGUCAUCCGGUGUAUCUGUAUCUGACAGCUUAUGAGCCCCAUUGAAUGGGACGAAUCCACAUACGACUUAACUGGCUGAGGUGCAGAUUAAAAAAAAUAUAUCUGCGGACAUGUGAACGGCAACAUGGAUUCCCAAUAGGAUGCGUAUUUGACGUGGUUUUCCUUUCAGCUCAGAAUACUGGCUGAAAUCUGCAUGACAUGUGCGCCAUGUGAACGUACCUUCAUGCAGUGGUGACGUCUCCUGUGACCUCUGUCGGCUCUGGAGUGUUCUGGCAGGUUCCCCUUUAAUAAGAUGGUUUUCCUGUCCCGGCAUGUACUAAAUCCCAUAAUGACCAGUCGGGUAGGACUUAAAGUGGCUAAGUCCUAAAACCCCAUAGAUGCCAUGAAGCGUAUGAGUAAUAACCUAAAAAUCCCGGACUUCAACCUCACAGGCAGAUGUAAUUAACCCCUUCCUUUCUUACUAUGAUGGUACCAAGCUAUGUGAUUUCCUCCCGGGGGGGUUAUUGUCCCCUCUCAGUAGAAAGGCGCCAGUACAGAAUGGGAGUGAAGUCCCUACACUAGGUCAUAUAAAACAGCUGGACUGUUAUCAGGGCACCCUCAGGAAGGGGCCACGCAAUGCAGCUGGACUGCAGACACCCUCCGGCAGGGGUCAUGCAACACAGCUGGUCUGUAAUUUAACCCUUAAGGACUCCUCGGGUAGGAGUCGCGGAACCCAGCCGAGCUGCGGAUCUACUUGAGGACGUACGUGGAAGCAGCAGGGCUGUAAACGAUACCGUAGGGAACCACUUUCGGGAAGGCACAGCUGGAUGGUGAAUCCCAGGAGUGGACCUCGAAAAAGUUACCGUGAGGGACCACUGUAUUCUGUACUGAAGCCUUUCUUCUAUACAUUCCAAGAAACGAGGAACCCAAGCAAGAGCCAGUUGUCAGCGGGGGUCGGCUGCGCGGGCCGCAGCUCCUGGCAGAUUGCCGCUCGCCUGUACCCACUGUCGCAUGGUGUAGACUGCACAAUGAUAUCCUGAGCCAGCAGGCUGGUGUUUUCAUUUCAUUCCUGUAGCUAAUCAACAUUUUCAAUGUGAAAUUUUCUCCUGUGGAGUCAUCUGGUGCUCAGGGCGGUGUUUUUUCUUUUCUUUUUUUUUUUUUUUUUUUUUUUCAUGCAUUUUUCAUGUUUUUAUUAUUUUUAUUCCGUCUGAACAUCUGUAUGCCAAGGGAGCGUUGCGGGACUCCCUAAGGGACACGUUUUUUCGAAUACCAGACUCUCCUUCGGAAACCGGUCACCUGUUCUUACUUUUUCCCGUCGUGACGUUUAACGUAGUCGAUAUGUACGUACCGCGGAACCGGCGCCUGCGCUGCUAUACCGCCGUUCUGCACAAGCGACCACUGAUGUUUGGGGCACUUUAAAUGAUUGUUUGGGGCAUGGUGCAGGGAAUAUAAAUGUCUGUGUUAAUAACCUUUUUUUUUUUUUCUUUCCCCGUCCGUCGGGGGUCAUACAAAUCUACAAAAAAUUGUAGAAUUUGCAGAAGCGUGCAACUUUUUUUUUUUUUUUCCUAUACCAUUUUACUUUAUUCCUUAAUUGAAUCCUAAGCACUUGAGGGGUCAGGUGAGGGAUUAGGGCCCGGAUUUGUGAGUAAUUGAUCGUCAAAUUCUCCUGUGGUAAAAAAUAGUGUAAUUAUUAGGGUGUGGGGAUUCCUAGUGACAGGGGUUAGGCCGCCUGUGGCUCGCCAACCGAGCUAUAAAUCUAUUGAUCUAUAAUUCCCAGCAUGCUUUCGGGGAGAAACGCUUCAAAAAUCGAUGUGCCAAAGUUAUACUUCUGAUUUGAAUAUGGUCUGAGCCGCAGGCGCCCAAAUGUCAAGAGGUCCCGGCGCCUACUCACAGUGGAGGUAAACGAGCCCAUGUCGAAUCAUAGAACAUAGGGUUUCCCCCCCCCCCCCCCACAAAACUGCUCCCUCCACUUGGGUCCAGGUUGAGGCACCUCACUAGAAGAUUAUUGUGGCUUUCUAAGACAUGUAAUUGGUCUCAGGACUUCCCAACAGGAAGACGGUUUUGGGGUAAAGCCAACAUUUGCGCUGUAAUUUGCACUUUUUUUUUGAGCUAUUCUGUACCAAAAAAAAAUUUGUCCGAAGGGUAGUUUAUCGGAGGACAAGACUCCAUGCAAGAUUUGCAUUUGUAGAAGGAGACGUUUCUAAUGAAAAGCAUUGUCCGGAGCAGCGGUCAACUUGUGACUCUCCAGCCGUUGCAAAACUACAACUUCCAUCGGCUGUUUGGGCAUGCUGGGAGUUGGAGAUUCACAGCAUCUAAAGAAACCUGCUCCAGAGGACCUACACCAGCCAUCAGCAACCUCCAGCUGCUGCAAAGCUACAACUCCAUGCAUGCACACUUGCUUGGCUGUUCUUUAUAGUCCCAUAGAAGUGAAUGCGGCAUGCUGGGAGUUGUAGUUUCACAACAGCCGGAGUGCCAGAGGUUGCUGACCCCUGACCUACACUCUGGUGAUAGGCCCUUAGAUUACAAGUAUCUGUGGUCCGGAAUAUCACAUUUUCCUAUAACCAGGUCUAGGGUGGCUAUCCAUUCUGUAGAUCCUGUUGAUCAACAGCGCCACUAGUUAAACUGGUCACAAAGAGUACUGCACUUAAAAUGGAGUUAAAAUUAUUAUUUUUUAAGAAAAAUUAUCACAAUACAUGAAACUUUGUAUUUUUGGAGCAUAAGCUACUUUUUUUGAAAUAUAAAUACCUAAAAAAUGUAAUGUUACAUAAGGCACUUUCUAGAUCAGUGGUCUCCAACCUGUGGUUCUCUAGCAGUUGAGAAGCCACAACUCCCAGCAUGCUGGGAAUUAUCGUUUCGUCACAGGUUGGACAACCAUUGAUGUAGAUAAUAGAACUCGUGGGAAUGUUGGCUUACCCUAAACCGCACCUGGAUGGUACUUCUAGAUUAUAUAACCACUAUUUUUCUUAUUAUUAUUAUUUUUGAAUAUUGAGAAAUUCCACUACAAUUUUGUUUUGUACUCAGAUAAUAAAGUUAUAUGCAGAGAUAUAUAAUAAAAAGUCUAAAGCUAUUUUUGCUAAGAGAAGGUCCAAGGGUGCACAUAAAUUAGUCUAUUGGCCUUGGUGAAGAGCCUAUAGUUUUCAUAGAACAGAAAUUUCAAAGAAUAUUUUUUUCAUUUCCCAGAAUUUGAGAUGAAGCUCGGCACAUUUCAUUGUUUUUACAUCUCGCCUCUUGUUUUACGUUGUAAUUGCUCUUCUGAAUCCCUUCUGUAAAUCCUGUGAUCAGUGGCAUUCGGGAGAGAAUUGGGUAAAAUAAAGUUCUGUUUGGUUAACGCA